rnacentral:rRNA from 1 species
UAGGGAAUCUUCCACAAUGGACGCAAGUCUGAUGGAGCAACGCCGCGUGAGUGAAGAAGGUUUUCGGACCGUAAAGCUCUGUUGUUGGUGAAGAAGGAUAGAGGUAGUAACUGGCCUUUAUUUGACGGUAAUCAACCAGAAAGUCACGGCUAACUACGUGCCAGCAGCCGCGGUAAUACGUAGGUGGCAAGCGUUGUCCGGAUUUAUUGGGCGUAAAGCGAGCGCAGGCGGAAGAAUAAGUCUGAUGUGAAAGCCCUCGGCUUAACCGAGGAAUUGCAUCGGAAACUGUUUUCUUGAGUGCAGAAGAGGAGAGUAGAACUCCAUGUGUAGCGGUGGAAUGCGUAGAUAUAUGGAAGAAUACCAGUGGCGAAGGCGGCUCUCUGGUCUGCAACUGACGCUGAGGCUCGAAAAGCAUGGGUAGCGAACAGGAUUAGAUACCCUGGUAGUCCAUGCCGUAAACGAUGAGUGCUAAGUGUUGGGAGGCUUCCGCCUCUCAGUGCUGCAGCUAAACGCAUUAAGCACUCCGCCUGGGGGAGUACGACCGCA